GGGCUUGUGGUUUAGUGGUAUAAUACUCCCUUAGCAUCUGCUGGGCUUCUUUCUCAGAAGCGCACGAGAAACUGGGAGUGGUCCGGGGUUCGAUUCCCCGCGAGUCCA